UCCCGAGCAGAAGCCGCCGAUCGCCGCCGCCCCCCAUGGCUGGGGACGAGGAGGAGGCGACUGCCGCUCAUCGCAGGAGCCGAAGAUGAAGUCACACAAGGCAACUCCUUAAGGAAAAUCCAUGGGAUUUAAAGGUGACAGCCCAGGAGUAAGUCUCACUGAACUUGAGCAGGACUUACUUCGGAAUAGGGAUGGAUGAAAUCGGCAAAUUUUGGUUGCUCCACUCUUUGCAUUUUGUGUCUUGUCACUUGACUGGAGACCUGCAUUGCAGAAUUCGGAAAAGUGCCCAUCUUGAAGAGUGUCUGUAUUUCAGCUUGCACUGCUACCAUGCAAAUAUAUGGUAAAAUAUUAAAUGUGUGUUUGGGUUAACAGUGGAUCCUAGGUCAGAAAAGGCUGAAGACACCUGUGUUAGAAGGAUAGAUAACCAUGGUAGUAUAAUGGAGGUCUGUUAAAAAGAAGUUUAAAAUCUAGCCUGCAGGAUACCAGUUUGGCAGUAAUCUCUCCAGUGAUUUGACCUCUAUGCGUUGGUUUUUUAAAUCCUCAUUAUUUUUAAUGUGCCCAUCUGCAUCUUACUCUCCCUUGUUUGUUUGUUUGUUUUUUCCUCAAGUCUCCCAUUUCCCCUUUGUCUUCAAAAUAUUUAUAAGUAGAGGAUUAAAAAGAAGAAGGGGGAGGAGGAGGUUUGCUUCUUCUUACAAGCGUCAACGCAGGGCAUUUUGGAGAGGAAAUGGGUUGCGCAUUGUGCUUGCAAUUUUAUGUUUCUCUGAUGUGAAAAUGACCUUCUUUGGAGUGGUGUACACAGAUGACAUCAGUGGGAGAGUGCCAUGCAGUGUUAUUCAUGCCCUAUUUCUUUGAAUAAAUUAAAACGAAAUGUGGGUGAAGAGCCGCUUGCUUUGUG